UACGGAGGGUGCGAGCGUUGUCCGGAAUCACUGGGCGUAAAGGGCGCGUAGGCGGCCGAGCAAGGUCGUGGUGAAAGCCCGGGGCUCAACCUCGGGUCGGCCAUGGCAACUACUCGGCUGGAGCACAGUAGAGGCAGGCGGAAUUCCGGGUGUAGCGGUGGAAUGCGUAGAGAUCCGGAAGAACACCGGUGGCGAAGGCGGCCUGCUGGCUGUGGCUGACGCUGAGGCGCGACAGCGUGGGGAGCAAACAGG
rnacentral:rRNA from 1 species